UUGUGCAAGAUGGAGAAGCAGGGCACGUGCAUUACCAGCUAUCUAACAACAUUCCUUCCACCUCAGAAGUUUUAGAUAGCUAGUAAUUCAUGUGCCAUCUUCUCACCAAGCACAC
rnacentral:pre_miRNA from 1 species